rnacentral:rRNA from 1 species
AUUGAACGCUGGCGGCAGGCCUAACACAUGCAAGUCGAACGAGUGGCGGACGGGUGUGUCAUGUCUGGGACCCUGCCUGAUGGAGGGGGAUAACUACUGGAAACGGUACCUAAUACCGCAUACCAUCAGAUGUGCCCAGAUGGGAUUAGCUAGUUGGUGGGGUAACGGCUUACCAAGGCGACGAUCCCUAGCUGGCCUGAGAGGUUGACCAGCCACACUGGAACUGAGACACGGUCCAGACUCCUACGGGAGGCAGCAGUGGGGAAUAUUGCGCAAUGGGCGCAAGCCUGAUGCAGCAAUGCCGCGUGUAUGAAGAAGGCCUUCGGGUUGUAAAGUACUGUCAGCGGGGAGGCGUUACCUGCAGAAGAAGCACCGGCUAACUCCGUGCCAGCCGCCGCGGUAAUUC